AUUGAACGCUGGCGGCAUGCUUUACACAUGCAGGGCGAACGGUAACAGGUUAAGCUGACGCGUGGCGAACGAGUGAGUAAUGCAUCGGAACGUGCCCGGGCGUGGGGGACAACGCAGCGAAAGCUGGGCUAAUACCGCAUACGACGUGAGGACGAAAGCGGGUGACCGCAAGCCCUCGCACGAUCGGAGCGGCCGGGGUCAGAUCAGGUAGUUGGUGGGGUAAAGGCUCACCAAGCCAACGAGCUGGAGCUGGUCUGAGAGGAGGACCAGCCACACUGGGACUGAGACACGGCCCAGACUCAUACGGGAGGCAGCAGUGGGGAAUUUUGGACAAUGGGCGAAAGCCGGAUCCAGCAAUGCCGCGUGCAGGAAGAAGGCCUUCGGGUUGUAAACUGCUUUUGUACGGAGCGAAAAGGUCUCCUCUAAUACAGGGGGCUCAUGACGGUACCGUAAGAAUAAGCACCGGCUAACUACGUGCCAGCAGCCGCCGUAA
rnacentral:rRNA from 1 species